UACGAAGGGGGCUAGCGUUGCUCGGAAUCACUGGGCGUAAAGCGCACGUAGGCGGAUUGUUAAGUCAGGGGUGAAAUCCUGGAGCUCAACUCCAGAACUGCCUUUGAUACUGAGAGGCUUGAGUCCGGGAGAGGUGAGUGGAACUGCGAGUGUAGAGGUGAAAUUCGUAGAUAUUCGCAAGAACACCAGUGGCGAAGGCAGCUCACUGGCCCGGUACUGACGCUGAGGUGCGAAAGCGUGGGGAGCAAACAGG
rnacentral:rRNA from 1 species